UUAUAUUUUCAGUCAAGUCGU
rnacentral:piRNA from 1 species